rnacentral:lncRNA from 1 species
GGGACAAAGUGAUUGGAACUCUUUCGGGAAAUAACUUCUCUUCAUUGUUUUACUUGCAAUGGUAUGUAUAUUUUAGCAUAAUUUGAACAAUAUUAUAAUAAAGUUUUAAAGGACAAACGACCCAAAAUCUAACCGGAAAAUAGAAUUUUGAAGCAAGAAAAUCCUAAAUCUGAGUUGGAAAACAAUUUUAUAUCUCGCAUAUUUUUCUCUUAGAAUGACACGUUGAAUAUAAAAUUAAUUAAAAUUCUUUAACUUUUUCUAUACGUUGGUAUACUUCCUCGGUUUAUCAGCCGUGGAUAAAUGUUUGCUUUUUGUUGUCUUCAGGAUCUUUUAAAUCGUUAUCAUUGCUACUUGAUGCUACCGUAAUUGGGGCUCUUACUUCAUGUAUAUAGAGGAAAGCUUCGUUCCUCUAUGAAUUACCAAAGUCUGACCAAGACUAAAGUUUGUGGCUUCUUAGGAGAACGAAUCAACCUAUAUACAUAAUCGAUUCCUUAUACCUUGUUUGCAUUUCCUUGCGGACACAUUCCAAUUAAAUAAAUGUUUUUCAAAAAGCGAAUGGGUCAAGCUUAAAUCUAAAAAAUCAAAGAAAAUUUACUACCACGAGAUUUCCAAUCAAAUAAGGAAAACAAACACAUUUUUUUACCCAGAAAACAUGAUUCAUGCAGCACAUUCAUCACAGUGGCGUAACGCAACCGCUGGGGGCCCUCCGUCAAUCGGCCACUUUGGGCCCCUUUGCUACACUAAAAAUAGGCUCCAAAAAUUUUUCUCGGAACAAUUUAUUUUUGGCGACCUCUCCCCCCCCCCCGUCGCCAAAAAAUUUUCGGACAUUGUACCAUUUUAGGGGUCCAAAAUUUUUUCCGGACAUACCCAAUGAAAUUGCAAUUAAUUCAUUCUAGUAUCUCGUCCUUUACCUCAGCCGCGACGUACUUAAUCCGUCGCAGCUUCAGGAAAUUUCUCGACGGAUUUUGCCUUUUCCAGAGAAUGGGUUUUUUUUAUUCAAUUCAAUUCAAUUAAUUCAAUUCCCCAGAAAUGUGCUAUCAAAUUUUUUAAGGUCAUUUUUGUUGGGGGCCCCUAAAGUUCGGGGGCCCCCCGUCCCUGGACACCCUGACACCCCCCCGUUACGCCACUGAUUCAUCAUGAACUAUCACGUGCGGUUUUGCAGUGUUAAAUUUAUUUCAUUCCUGCUUAAUGUUUUCGCGCUUUCAAAAAUUAAUGAUUUUAUAAUCCAGCAAAGGGCAUGUAUCUGCCCAUAAAAAGUAAAAGUAAAGAGACAUGUUUUAGUCAAUGUAUAUAAAUAAAUACAUUUCACAAUGAAAAAGUUCUCAUUCGUGGGUGGUUUUGAGUGAAUUUUGCCUGCUUGAAAUGUAAACAGGGUAUGAGAUCUAUUAUGAAAUAAUCCUCUUACACAAUAUGAAAAAAUAUGAUGUUAUUAAAUCUUAUAACACUUUCAAAGCAACUUUGAGAAAGAACUCCUUCAUUUAUAUUAAAUAAAAUAAUAUUCUUGCUAAAGUGAUUGUAAGUUAUAAAUAAUUAUUUUAUGCAGUUGUUCAUAUAGUAUAUUUGGGUAAAUUAGUAAAAAAUAAAGUAAAUAAAUUAAAAAAAAAGAUGAUGAAAGAGCUCCAAUUUUGACAAUGAUGAUUUUCUGAUUAUCAAUACAUUAUGGAAAAGUUAAAAACAUGCAAUUUAGUCGAAUCCAAUAAGCCAGUUCGACAUUUUGACUGUGUAUCCAAAUGACGUGUUCUGAGUUGGGAGAAAAUACAGCUGAAUCACAUAAAAUUUAGCUGAGACUGGACGUAUUUAUAUUUUUAAGUAUUCAGUGACUAAUAUUCUGCAUAAAAGAAAAAAUAAAACUGUCAAUUUAAUUCAUUUCCUAAUAAACUCUAUUGACUUUUUUCUGUCUAAAGCCAAACAAUGAAAGUGUACUUGCGGGAAUGUUUAUGUAACUUGAAGCAAGUCAAUCGUUUAAAAACUUCUUCUUUUUCUAAAAAAACUAGUUCCAUAAUUAAAACAUCAAAACUUAAUCUGGAAGGGUCUGUGUCAGUGAAGGUAGCGACGAUAACAAGACAACUGUGGAUUGAGAGGGAUACAACUACCUGAAAAAUACAAGCAGAACUUCGAUGUUGUAUCCUUUUGUAUCCCUCUCAAUCCACAGCUUUCUCUUAAAGCUUAAGCCUGUUUUUCACUUCACCAUAUCGUAACGUACUGUAGAGCAUUUUCUUUUCUGUUGAACUCACUAGUUAUUCAGAAUAACAAAAAUACACAGCUACGUUUCGGUACGAUAUACAGUUGAAGUGAAAAACGUGUUUUAGUUUUAAAAUAUGGAAAGAGACAUUUUAACCCGACUCAGUUGGAUGCGCAGUAUAGUUGCACCAAACUGGCUUAUUGGAAUUUAGUAAAAAAUAUUGUUAUAACUUGUUGCUUUGCCAGUGUGGGCAAACGUCCAUUGCGAAGUUCGAUGAAGCUUUCAAGACUGGGAUAAACAUAUGGAUUUGACUUAAAAACAUUGUACUGUAAAACCACAAGAAAUAUUGCGACUAUCUCGAAAGAGUAGUGAGUGAUUUACUUGGACGUUAUGUUGUCAUCGCUGAAAGUAUACGUCGGCUUUUACGAACCGUUGCUGAAUAUGUUACAGUUUCAUCACUUAUCAUGAUACGCGAUUUAUAUAUAUGUUGGUGACUCAGUGGAUUUGAAAAUAUCUGAUCUGAUAAUGUGACUGAUAUACGGGAAUAAUGGCAACGGUGUCUUCCACAAGCUUGUUGCGGUUUGUUUAUGUUGAAAUAUCGAUGUUUAGUGUGGAAUACCAACAAUGAACAGGGUUACUUGAAUACGUCGUACUGCAGUAAAGUCUAAAGGAAUUUAAUGAGCAAUUCGAAGGAUCGCGAGUCGUUUGGCCAAUAACGAAAAUCAUGUAGUGUUUACAUCGUUGAAAAUCUACGCCUUUAGGAACAAUUUCUGUAUCGCGCCAUUAUUAUGCAACGGUUGAAUCGGACUAAAAAACUAAGUAAUGGAUUUCAAAUUCCUGAUCACAAUGUGACUGAUAUACGGGAAUAAUGCCAAAUACAGCAUAACUUGAAAUAUUAUAUUGGAAAGCUAAAAGUAAUAUCAUUAACACCAUCUCGAAAGACCGUGAGUCGUUCACGUGGAGAAAAAUUGUACAUUAUUCUCAUUGUCGAAAAUAUACGCGUUUGACAAACCGUCCUUAUAUCUCACGCUCGUAUGUACCACUUGUGAUUUGCACAGCAUAAUGCGUGGUAUCAGUAUUUGUUGAAAAUAUAUGUGUGGAUUUUAUGAUCUUGAUCACAGUGUGCCGUAUGUAUGAUGAAUGGUAAUGAUACAACUUCAGUUCAACAAGCUAUGGUAGUUGGUAUACGGAGCUAGGGAAUGGUAUUAAUGAACUUGACAAAUGGUCGGUUGUCCAACUACUAGAAACUAUAAAUUUCGGAAUUAUGGGGAAAAUGUGCAACGAUUUAAAAGAACUUUCGUACUGAAAAACAAAAUUGAAAAAAUCUAAAGAACCGGUUCAAAUUAAAUCUCGUAUUAUAAGCUCGGUGAAUUACUUUACAAACUAGAAAAGAUGUGAUUAUUCUAGACUUUGCGUGGUCUUACUUAUGAUGGUCUGGACUUGUUUGGUCCUACUUGGUGAUCAUGAGACUAAGGAUUUGGCCUUCCUUCAUACAUAAAGCAGUGAACGGUAUUGAUUAUUUGGUCAAAACGUGGAACAAAGCGCUUGUAAUUAGGUCGUGCUGGUAUUUUGUCUGUCAGUGAAUUAACAAAACGAACGUGUUGGAGAACAAAGAAUACUGAACAAUUAUUUACCUUUAGACACUUUGAAUUAGUUUUAGUAUGUAUGAUUAUAUUGUUUGUAGAUUAAAAUAGUUAUUGUUGUAUAGUUUCUUCGAGAAUAAAUAAUAAAUAAAGACUGUAAUCACAAACAGUCGUAGCCAUGUUGGUUUUUUUUAGGGAGAUAUUGGGAUGUAUCAUGCAAAUUGGUCCUAAUAAGCUUCGCAUGAUUAGGAGAAUCGCCAAGAGAUAUUGGGGGAUCAGGGCAAUAUCUUCCA